rnacentral:rRNA from 1 species
ACUAUCAGCUUUAGCAACACUUACACAUGCAAGUAUCCGCACCCCGGUGAAUACGUCCCCGCCUUCCUCAAGAAGGCUAGGAACUGGUAUCAGGCACGCAACUCAGCAGCCCACGACACCCCGCUUAGCCACACCCCCAAGGGAUUUCAGCAGUGAUAAACAUUAAGCAAUAAGUGAAAACUUGACUUAGUCUAAAGCUAAGAGAGCCGGUCAAAUUCGUGCCAGCCACCGCGGUUAUACGAAAGGCUCAAGUUGAUAAUCUUCGGCGUAAAGCGUGGUUAAAAGACCUGUUAAACUAAGGCUGAACUCCCCCAAAGCCGUCAUACGCUCCCGGGAGCAUGAAACCCGACCACGAAGGUGGCCUUAAACCCUCUUGACCCCACGAAAGCUGUGAAACAAACUGGGAUUAGAUACCCCACUAUGCACCGCCAUAAACCUUGAUAGACUAACCACAACCUCUAUCCGCCAGGGAACUACGAGCAUAAGCUUAAAACCCAAAGGACUUGGCGGUGCUUUAGACCCCU